rnacentral:rRNA from 1 species
UACGUAGGGGGGCGAGCGUUUGUCCGGAGUUACUGGGCGUAAAGCGCACGCAGGCGGUCUGCUAAGUUUGGAGUGACAGUUGGUGGCUUAACUGCCAAAGUGCUUCGAAAACUGACAGACUUGAGGGCUUCAGAGGGACACGGAAUUCCGGGGUGUAGCGGUGGAAUGCGUAGAGAUCCGGAAGAACACCGGUGGCGAAGGCGGUCUGCUGGGCAGUUGCGUGACACUGAGGCGCGACAGCGUGGGGAGCAAACAGG